AGCGGACAGAUGGGAGCUUGCUCCCUGAUGUUAGCGGCGGACGGGUGAGUAACACGUGGGUAACCUGCCUGUAAGACUGGGAUAACUCCGGGAAACCGGGGCUAAUACCGGAUGGUUGUUUGAACCGCAGGUUCAAACAUAAAAGGUGGCUUCGGCUACCACUUACAGAUGGACCCGCGGCGCAUAGCUAGUUGGUGAGGUAACGGCUCACCAAGGCGACGAUGCGUAGCCGACCUGAGAGGGUGAUCGGCCACACUGGGACUGAGACACGGCCCAGACUCCUACGGGAGGCAGCAGUAGGGAAUCUUCCGCAAUGGACGAAAGUCUGACGGAGCAACGCCGCGUGAGUGAUGAAGGUUUUCGGAUCGUAAAGCUCUGUUGUUAGGGAAGAACAAGUACCGUUCGAAUAGGGCGGUACCUUGACGGUGCCUAACCAGAAAGCCACGGCUAACUACGUGCCAGCAGCCGCGGUAAUACGUAGGUGGCAAGCGUUGUCCGGAAUUAUUGGGCGUAAAGGGCUCGCAGGCGGUUUCUUAAGUCUGAUGUGAAAGCCCCCGGCUCAACCGGGGAGGGUCAUUGGAAACUGGGGAACUUGAGUGCAGAAGAGGAGAGUGGAAUUCCACGUGUAGCGGUGAAAUGC
rnacentral:rRNA from 2 species